ensembl:lncRNA
UCUCUCUCCUCCUCCUCUCAGCUCUAGACCCCUUCCACCCCUAUCUGUUUCCUCUCCCUCCUCCUCCUCUCAGCUCUAGACCCCUUCCACCCCUAUCUGUUUCCUCUCUCUCCUCCUCCUCCUCAGCUCUAGACCCCUUCCACCUCUGUUUCCUCUCUCCUCCUGUCAGCUCUAGACCCCUUCCACCCCUAUCUGUUUCCUCUCUCUCCUCCUCCUCUCAGCUCUAGACCCCUUCCACCCCUAUCUGUUUCCUCUGUCUCCUCCUCCUCUCAGCUCUAGACCCCUUCCACCCCUAUCUGUUUCUGUCUCUCCUCCUCUCAGCUCUAGACCCCUUCCACCCCUAUCUGUUUCUGUUUCCUCCUCUCAGCUCUAGACCCCUUCCACCCCUAUCUGUUUCCCCAGCUCCUCUCAGCUCUAGACCCCUUCCACCCCUAUCUGUUUCCCUGUCUCUCCUCCUCUCAGCUCUAGACCCCUUGUUUCCGCUGUCUCUCCUCCUCUCAGCUCUAGACCCCUUCCACCCCUAUCUGUUUCCCCUGUCUCUCCUCCUCUCAGCUCUAGACCCCUUCCACCCCUAUCUGUUUCCUCUCUCUCCUCCUCCUCUCAGCUCUAGAACCCUUCCAUCCCCUGUCUCUCCUCCCCCUCUCAGCUCUAGACCCCUUCCACCCCGGGGUCUAUGUGGCUGGCUGGGGGAGCAUGCCUCCCUCUAGUUUGUCCCCUCACCAGGCGACCCUCUCUGCCCAGGCCUCCCUCUCUGCCCAGGCCACAGGCCUGCCUGCCCCCACCACAGGCCUGCCUGCCUGCCCCCAGGGGACCCUCCAACCCCCAGGCAACAUGGGACAGGCCUGCUUUAGUCCCCUGCCAGAUGCCUAUUGUGUGACUGGGACACUGGGCCUGGUCUGCUGGCCUGUUUUGACUGGCUGGCUUGCUGGCAGAUGGCUAACGUUACUGGAAGAAGUCUCAAGUGGGCUGGCUGCAAGACACAUACAGGCCAACCCAAGGCCCCUGACAGAGAGGGCACACUGGGUCUGUCGUGGGGGACUUGAGGACUUGGGGGGGAGAAGCAUCAAGCCACUGCUUUGUUGAGGCUUCUUUGUCGUUGUCCUUUUGGGAGGGGUUUAAUAUCCUCGCUUGUGUUACCUUCUGUGUUAAUAUUAUCAUUGUUAUUUCUUUUAAAUCAGGUUUAUAUAUGUAUGAUUAUGGAAUAUUUUAGGGCUGAUCUGUUGCACAGGUUUGAUUUGUUUUAAAUGGUUUUAAGGCGAUUAUUUGCUUUAAAAAUAUUCAAAAAUAACAAAUACAUUUUGACAGUGGUAUUGUGUACUAGCAUUAAAGGAUCCUCUAGCAUUAAAGGAUCCUCUAGCAUUAAAGGAUCCUCUAGCAUUAAAGGAUCCUCUAGCAUUAAAGGUUUGAGGUGUUGGUUGACUAGACUGAGGGGAGGUUUGAGGAGUUGGUUGACUAGACUAAGAGGGAAGGUUUGAGGAGUUGGUUGACUAGACUAAGAGGGAAGGUUUGAGGAGUUGGUUGACUAGACUAAGAGGGAAGGUUUGAGGAGUUGGUUGACUAGACUAAGAGGGAAGGUUUGAGGAGUUGGUUGACUAGACUAAGAGGGAAGGUUUGAGGAGUUGGUUGACUAGACUAAGAGGGAAGGUUUGAGGUGUUGGUUGACCUGACGAAGAGGGAAGGUUUGAGGAGUUGGUUGACUAGACUAAGAGGGAAGGUUUGAGGAGUUGGUUGACUAGACUAAGAGGGAAGGUUUGAGGAGUUGGUUGACUAGACUAAGAGGGAAGGUUUGAGGAGUUGGUUGACUAGACUAAGAGGGAAGGUUUGAGGAGUUGGUUGACCUGACGAAGAGGGAAGGUUUGAGGUGUUGGUUGACUAGACUAAGAGGGAAGGUUUGAGGAGUUGGUUGACCUGACGAAGAGGGAAGGUUUGAGGUGUUGGUUGACUAGACUGAGGGGAGGUUUGAGGUGUUGGUUGACCUGACGAAGAGGGAAGGUUUGAGGUGUUGGUUGACCUGACGAAGAGGGAAGGUUUGGCUAGAAGGAAGAAUCAUAGACGUGGUCGGUUUGAAGUCAGUCAGAAGAGUGGCCUUGUCAUCUAUAAUAAUACAUUUAUGGAGUUGCGUCCUGUUUUAAAAAUGAAGGCUGGGAGGUAGAGAGUGCUUGUUGAGACGGAGUGGCCGAAUUUGAGUUUAUUAUUUCUUGCAAAAUGAAAUGUAGCUCCUUUAAGAGGAGGAAGAAACAAGCAUGAUAAAAUCCUUCUUCAAAUGGUCUCCUGUUCACGCAGCCAUUUUGCAAGUCUUUAUAUCUGUAUAAUGAUGAAAUCUUUUAAUCUGUGUUAUUUUACAGAUUAUUUUUAUGAUAUAAUGUAGGUUGCUAGUAUGUGAUUCGCAUUAUUCUGGCUUCUGCAAAUGUGUUUACCACGAUAUUGACGUUUACCAACCCACUCAUCAUUCUAUCGUUUGAUGGGUUGUAUGUAAUCCACUGUACAGUAAUGGCCCGUAUUUAAGAAAACAGAACGAGUGCUCUGCGGGAAUGGUACAAACAGAGACUAUGGCUACAUCCUAUUUAGCUAUAGGGUUGUGUGGAUAGGAAGGUGGCCUUUCUAUGUCUUCUUACUAUGGCUUCAGGUCAUGUUGAAUGAACUGCUCUGUCUGGGACAGUCUGUCAGUCCUAUGACUACUAGUGUUACUUGCUCCUGAUUUCCCAUUGAAUUGAAUCUCUCUGGGAAGUUUUGUGUUAUUUUUUUUUCCUGUCUUGCAUCAAGAAUCCAAAUCUUUAAGUUUAGUCACACACCCAAGUCACUAGGAGGGUCUUGAAUUGAAACAUAUAUAUAUAUAUAUAUAUAUGAGUUGGGAGAUCUAUACAAACCCAUCCGUCUAAGUGUGCGCAUGCCUAUGAGCUGAUUUUAUUUAUUUUAUUUGAGGUUUUUAUUUAAAAUGUUCAUUUAGUUUUUAUUUUAUCAAUGGGUUUUGAUUUUAAGUGACUGAAUCCAUUGUGAUACCGAUGAUCUCUUGCCUGGUAAGUGUGGUAUUACUGUGAUAUUUUAGAUUGAAAGCUAUGCUGUAGUGCUAUUGGCCGAUUCUGGUUCCAUAUGCAAUGUAGUGACUCAUUGAAACACAAUGGGGUCCUUCCUCAUCUGUGACACUGGGCCUCCCGGCGCCCUCCGACACUUGACCUUUAGGUCACGUGACGUACCCGACUAUUGAAUGCAAUGCACCUCCAUUUGCAUGUCAUUGACAUUGGAAGGAGGGAGACAGAAUGAGAUGGGAGGUGUUGGCGUGGUUACUCAAGCGAGGCAAGCUAGUCUCCCUGCCAGAGGGUGAUGAUGAGCUGUAGAAUUUGUGGUUGGUCGUCAAUUCGUUUUUUGGUUUUUUUUUUAUUAAGCAAUUGAAAAAAUAAACUAACUGAAAAGAGAAGUGGAAAA